GCCCAAGUGGCGCAAUGGUAGCGCGUCGCCCUCCUAAGGCGGACGUUGUGGGUUCGAGUCCCACCUUGGGUG
rnacentral:tRNA from 1 species